rnacentral:rRNA from 1 species
AUUGAACGCUGGCGGCAGGCUUAACACAUGCAAGUCGAGCGGGGAAAGGUAGCUUGCUACCUGACCUAGCGGCGGACGGGUGAGUAAUGCUUAGGAAUCUGCCUAUUAGUGGGGGACAACAUCUCGACAGGGAUGCUAAUACCGCAUACGUCCUACGGGAGAAAGCAGGGGACCUUCGGGCCUUGCGCUAAUAGAUGAGCCUAAGUCGGAUUAGCUAGUUGGUGGGGUAAAGGCCUACCAAGGCGACGAUCUGUAGCGGGUCUGAGAGGAUGAUCCGCCACACUGGGACUGAGACACGGCCCAGACUCCUUCGGGAAGCAGCAGGGGGGGAUAUUGGACAAUGGGGGGAACCCUGAUCCAGCCAUGCCGCGUGUGUGAAGAAGGCCUUUUGGUUGGAAAGCACUUUCUGCGAGGAGGAGGCUACCGAGAUUAAUACUCUUGGAUAGUGGACGUUACUCGCAGAAUAAGCACCGGCUAACUCUGUG